rnacentral:lncRNA from 1 species
CAUCUAUCCAUCUAACCGUCUAUCCACCCAUCCAUCAUCCAAACAUCUAUCCAUCAUCCGUCCACCCAGCCCUUCAUCCAUCCAUUUAUCCAUUAAUCUACCCAUCCAUCCACCCACCCAUCUACCCAUCCUUCCAUUUAUCCAUUCAUCUGCUCAUCUGUCCAUCCAUCCACCCACGCAACCAUUAUCUAACCAUCCAUCCAUCCAUCCAUGCACCCAUCAUCCAUCCAUCCAUCCAUCCAUCCAUCCUUCAGCAGCUUUCUCUGUGUCAGGCGCCAUGUUGGAAUGUGGGAUAGAGUGAUGGACAAAGCAGGCCUGUGCCUGCCCUUGUGGGAGUUGUGUGUUGGGGAGUCAGACACACAGAAAAGGUUGAAUUGUGGCUGCAGUAAGCACCACAGCUGGUGUCGUUUGACUUGAUCAUGGGGAUCCAUCUCGUUGGGGCCGUCAGGGCAGGGAGGAAUUCCAGUCUGUCUGCUGUCUCUGUCCGUCUUCCAGUUCCAGAAUCUGCUUGGAUCCUGUACAGCCUGCCCAGCAGGAGGUGCACAUGAUGGCAGAAGGAUUCUAAACAAGGGCCAUGCUUCUGAGUAGCGGGGUGCUCCUGGUGGGUGAAGGUUAGGCACCAGGUUGGGGGUCUCUGGAUGCUCUUUACUCUCUAGCAAGGCCAGAGACCACUAGGGUCCAUGGCCGCCCUGGGUGGUGUCCUGCUCUCCCUGCCCGGAGGACAGUGGGGGCUGAGAUGGACACAGACAUCGGAGGGCUGAGAAAUGAGUUGCUCUGGCUGGCCGGUGGGGGUGGGCGUCCGAAUACAGACAUCUUGCAGGGGUGUACAGUCAGGGUUGGGGGGCUCAGGCUGGGAGUGGGUGUCUGGGUUGUGACCUCAGACCCUUUGUGUCUCUGUGCCCAGCAGGCUCCAGCCCGAGGCUGCUUGUCACCGCCUCCCCUCUCCCAGGCCUGGGGCAUCUGCACCAGGGCCUCCUCCUGUUCUGGGACCCUGGUAGCUCCAGCCUGGUGGGGGAGAUGGAGUCGGGAUG